CCAUCUAGAUGUGUGUCUUUUGUGUACUCUCUUACUUGCCUUUUGACAGUAUAUUACUUGAAACAUGGGAACCCUUAACAUGACAAUCUUGCUAUGUUUGCUAUUCCUCAUGCCACUCCAUUUGGUUCCUGGUUCAGAGGCCAAGCCCUGCAAAGAGCUCAGUGGGACAUAUACCGCUUCACGCUGUGAUCAGGCUGGAUGUGUUGUGGCCUGCCUCAAGGAGCGCUUUACCCAAGGGCAGUGUGAAGUUGUUGUCAAAAGAGAAAAAAUUAUGGUACUUUGUUUUUGCAAAAAAGAGUGUUGAAGAAAAACAUGUUAAUGUUGUGGAGGAUUUGUUGUAGCAAUCAGUAAGAUUGUGUAGCAAGAAGAACUAAUAAUGAUAACUGGUAAAUUUUGUGACUC